CCUGGGAGAGCGCGGGAGGUCGGGCGGGGCCUCGGCCGCUCGGGCCCGGAGCCGGGCUGCGGCGGUGAGGAGCGGGAUCGGGAGGACGGGGAGGAGCUGCAGGAGGGCGGGCCCGUCCCGGAUCCCAGACCCGGACCCAGUUUCCCGGCCCAGGUUCCCGCACCCGAUCUCCGAUCCUGGAUCCCGGCCCCGACCCGCGGUCCUGGCCCCGAGCGUCUCGGGCUCAUUCAUUCGUGGCCGCCCCUGGGGUCCUCCCGGCUGUGGUGCGGACUCAGGUGACGCCAGGGCGACCGGGACUUAACACCCGGCGCCGCCCGAGGCGGGGACGCGGGGACCCAGCGCACGGCCCGACCCGGGCUUUUGCUGGCCAACUGCGUACCCGUCGGAGCCCCGCCUGCCUGGGCGACCGAGCAUCGCCCGCGCGUGCCGAGUUCGGGUCCCGGCCCCGGGGUCUGUGUCGAGCUUAACUUUCCGUCCUUCGGGCCCUCCGGCCUCCAUCCCAGACCCCAGGGGCCUCGGGGGUCACAGCCGGCCCAAGCGGAAAGGGGAGACCGAGGGCCAGUGGGCCGCUGCGGACAGCGGCGGAGCCCAGACUCGGCUAAGCGAGGCCUCGGGCGCCUCGGACCCCUGGCCGCUCGCGGUCGGGGCGCCGCCGGGUCCGGAGAAGGCCGGGUCCGGGCCCCUCUCCGCCGCUGUGGCUUCUCGGCCAUCUCCGAAGGGCCGAAGUCUGCCCCUCUGAGUUAAUGUUUAACGUGGCUCCUUGGUUUCAUUUUAAGUCAGACAUGGAGGGAGCUUGCACACCUGCAGCGCCAGGUCUGGGCAGCCGCGAGAAUGUUUGGAAAACAGCACAGCGGGAGCCGGGGAGGAGCCGCCCCUUCCCUCCUGUCCGCCCCAGACAGCUCCGGGUGCUGGCCGGUCUGGGAGACCAGGCCCUGGGGGCGACUGAGCAGUUUAAAAACUCUGUGGGAUGUUUGUGCGUCUUUGAAAUACAGGAAAAAUAGAAAUAACCUUGCAUCAGUUAAAAUCUGCAGUGGAGUGCAAAUGAGAACCGUAUGCUAAGCGGAGUUAGGGUCCCCUCCCAAGCUGGGCCCGCACCCUGGGCCUGCCACUGGGCUUCAUCCCCAGUGCCUUAGAAUCUCGAGACAGGAUCUCAUUGAAUCACCGAAUGAUGCGGCUGGUCUUGAGCUCGCCUUCCUGUCUCAGCCUCCCGAGUGCUGGAUGACAGACACAUUUAGCAAGUUUCAAGGGUCCAAGUCAGCCUGGUACAAGUGUGACGCGGAGGGUCGGCCUAGUCCAUCCCAGGUUCCGUUUCCGUGGAGCGCAGCAGGGUGACCGCCCGCCGUGAGGACCGGACCGCUGUCUCUUGUCUCCUCCUACUGUGAGUCCCUCGGAAACCCCGCCAGUGCAGGCAGCUCCGGCCUCCCACCGCCCGGGUCCCCUCCAUGCCAGGCUGAGCUGCUCGAGGUGGCCGUGGGCAGACGCGUGCCCGCCACUGCUUCCCUCUCCCACGUCUGUGCCCGCGCCCAGCCGGGCAGGAGGUGCUCCGGUGAAGCUGAGGUGGAAAUGAGAUCACUCUGCUCAAGUUCCACAGCAAGAAAGUCACUCCCAGUCGCCCCCGAAGCUGGCUUGGUUUCUGCACUUUUCCCUAGUCCUCUCCCACCCACUGUGGACAUCUCCGGGUCCCUGAGAUCCUCACGUGGCGUCACCCCUCUCUCUUUUUUGGGGGGGGAUAUGGAGACAGGAUCUCGCUGUGUAGUCCAGACUGGCCUUGAACUCACAGUGAUCCUUCUGCCUCGGCCUCCCAAGUCCUGGGGUCCCAGUGUGUACCCCAUGCCUGGCUCAACCGUAGCUUUCUAUUCUGUGGCUGCAGCUCCACCUGACACUGGUUUCUACCUCUCAUGAUUUUAAGCAGCUCUGGAGUAAAUAUCUUCCUAGCUAUAUCCACAUAGGCAGGAUUAUUUCUGUUAUUUUACAUCUUAAAGGGUGAAACUAGCCGGAUGUGUUGACACAUGUGGAGGAUGGCUGUGAGUUCAAGGCCAGCGGGAACUCACAGAAAGACCUUGUCUCAAAAAAAAACCCAAAAAGUGAAAUUUAGUUACCUUUUUAAAAACCCAGAUUCACUGAAUUUGAGAACAUGUUCUUUCCUUGUUAUUUAUUUUUAUUUUAUUUCUUGCUGUACUGGAGAUCGAACCCAGGACUUCGUGCAUGCUAGACAAGCACUCUACCGCUGAAGCUAUGUCCCAGCCCCUUUUUAAAAACAUUUUUUAAAACUUUUAAGAGUUUCCCCAAGUGGCCCAUACUGACCUCAGACUUGCAGUCCUCCUGCCUCAGCCUCCAUAGUAGCUGGGAUUACAGGUGUGUGCCACGAUGCAAGGGUUCUUUUUAAAAUGUGGUACUGGGGCUAAGCCCAUGCUUUAGGACCGAGGGGCCACCCCAGGCUUCUCUUCGUAAUUUAACCUGAGCCAGGUCCACCUUUGUGACUUUCUGUGUCUCAGGACAGACCCUCCGUGGGAGCGCAUUACCCAGGGACACCUGGCGACCAGGGAGUUGUGCUUCCUCAGGGAGCUGUCUGUGAUCGUCCACGAUGGCCACCCGCCGGGCCUCUGUGAGGAAGGAAAUACAGCGGCGAGGAGCAGGCCAGUCCUGCCCAGCCUUCCUUCUAUAAGAUCGAUUUCACGCCUGCGGUUUCCUCCUUUUUUAUUGGUUUAAAAACUAGAAAUGAAGCGAGUGCGGCCUCUUCUCUCUUUCGCAGCUUCCACGCCUAGAAACCGUCCCGUGUGAGAGGCACUUGCCUGCCUCAGCCCCCGGCGCGCAGUGCCCGUGGGGGUCAGAGGGGGAUUGGAAUUGAGUAACAUUUUCCACUGGGUUGCUUUGUGUUUUCAUUUUUGAAAGUUGGUCCACUUUAUUUGUGACUUACUCUUUUUUCCACAUUUUUAGUAGUGCACAUUGGUGAUGCAGAUGAAUGGGCUUUAUUCUGGCAGAUUUGCACAUGUGGCUAACCUGUGUGUAAUGUGUGUGUAACGUACCGUAAAGCUUUUCUUUGGGUUCGAGAGAUUGAAGGAGCCUGGCAUGGAGGCACGGCCUGUAACCCCAGCACUCUGGGAGGCUGAGGCAGGAGGAUGGCAAAUUCAAGCCCAGCCUGGGUGACUUAACAGCUUAGCCAGACCCUGUCUCAAAGUAAAAAAUUGAGAUAAAGCAAAAGGGGCUGGGGAUGAGGGUCCAUGCGAGGCCGACUUCAGUUCCCGUGGCACAAAACGAAAGGGCUGGUGGGGAACAGAGCCGCACUCGGACCGGAAUGUGGCCGGGCAGGUUGUGUCCCUGGAGGUGACCCCUACCUGCCAGCCGAGGCCCUGCUGGGGCUGGCGGGGGGACACAGGUGCCGACCCGUUCUCCAGGCCCCUCCGAGCUCCUGUCACAGACACAGCCCCCCACCUGGGCCAAGGACUGUGCCCCCCGGACUCACAACAGGCAGCGCGUCUGACUGAAGACUGCCCGAGGGCUCCACACCAGACCGGGAGGCAGCCGAGGCAGCAAGCGGGCUUAGGCCAGGGUGGCAAACUUCAGAGCUGUCAGGGGGCACGCACUCGGCUGUGUGGCUCCGCUUCCCCAGCGCUCCUGUAGAGCACGGCCCCUUAUAUGUUUGCAACCACAGAGGACACUGCACACAGCACCCAUGGGGAGGCUCACGACCCUGAGUGUGAGGCCAGCCUUUGAAGCAGGUCACACACAGGUUGACAGGGCUGCCCAGGAGGUGAGGCAGUGAGAGAAACAGGAAGGUGAAAGCAUGCCAGAUGUUAGCAGAUACGCACUAGUGUUGGGCGCUAUGACACAGGUUCUAAUUCUAGAUACUAUGACAGUACUAGUGCUAGGUACCACCUGGUAAGUAGUGGUAGAUACUGUGAGGUAAGCACUAGUGCUGGGUACUACUAGGUCCCUGGUGAUGUAGCUCAGUGCGAAGGUCCUGGGUUCAGUGAAGUGGGUCCCAGGUCCCUCCUGGCCACCUGCCAUCCGCCACCAGCUCUAGCGACUGUUGUGGGGGUCGUGGUUCAGGACUGCAGCCUGCAGCCUCUGGUGGCCGUGGGAGCCACAGGGGCCCAGCAAUCUGCCAGCACCCCGCAUUCCCAGGGGGCUUUGGGCAGCCCCUCACAUGAGCCUCGACUUCCGGCCGUAGAGUGGGGAUCGCUGUUCGCUUCAUGGGGCGAACACUGGGAGUUACAUGACCAGGUGUGGACCAGAUGUGGGGAUUGGCAGGCCUGGGGUCACAUGCCACCUGUAAGCCAGCACUCUGGGAGGCCGAGGCAGGAGGGUCACAUGUUCAAGCUCCGUCUGGGCAACUUAAUGAGACCCUGUCUCAAAGUAGAAAAUUAAGAAAGGGCUGAGGAUGUAGCUUGGUGCAAAGGCCCUGCCAUGUACUUAUGUCUCGCUGUGUAUAUGUCUCGCUGCCAGGCCGCUCUGAACCGUCUGUGGCACAUGCGUGGCCCCUUCAGGCGGCACGGGACAGGCCCAUCGACGGGACCGGUGGACUGGUGGUCAUCGUGUCAACACCCAGGUCCCCAAAAGGAAAAAGAGGCAUGGAAGGCGAGGGCAGUAUGGGGCGUGGUGAAUAUCCACUGGCUCAGGUAGCAUUUUUCACAAGCUGCACUUGGAUGGGAAAACCCAGACUUCGGUCCAGUUGUGCUAGAACCCGUGCUCCUCAUCGGGUGGUGUGUUUCUUCCGAGUUGUGUGCGACAUCUCGCUGUGUCCCCUCCGCCUGCCGAGCGUCCUGACGGCGGCCGGUGACCAGCUGGUGACAAGCCGUUGGCCGAGGUCUUGUCUGCCAGCCUCUGGCAGCCCCGCGGG
ensembl:lncRNA